GACAGAGGGUGCAAACGUUGUUCGGAAUUACUGGGCGUAAAGCGCGUGUAGGCGGCGUAGCAAGUCGGGCGUGAAAGCCCACGGCUCAACCGUGGAAGAGCACUCGAAACUGCUGCGCUAGAGUUCUGGAGAGGAAGGCGGAAUGCUUGGUGUAGAGGUGAAAUUCGUAGAUAUCGAGAGGAACACCGGUGGCGAAGGCGGCCUUCUGGACAGUGACUGACGCUGAGACGCGAAAGCGUGGGGAGCAAACAGG
rnacentral:rRNA from 1 species